GCCAGGACUCCUGAGGGGACCUUAUCAGAGAGGGAAGCCACCUCGGACUGAGUGGUGAGUGCUGCUCUAGGACUGCCCUAAAACUGGAUUUGAACAAAAGACCACAUGCCGUAUGACUCCAUUGGAAUGAAACAUCCAGAACAGGCAAAGCCACAGAGGCAGGAAGCAGGGUCUUACUGUGUCUGGCAGUCUGGACUGAGUGUGGCUCACUGCAGACUCA
rnacentral:lncRNA from 10 species